AUGUUUUUGAUAACUAGAACUUUUGCCAUGCAUCUUGGUCCAGGGGGAGAGCGAUCUUUUUCGACACUUUGCUUCGCUUUAGCACUUCAUGGGAUGAUAGAAGCACCUUUUAGGGCCAUGGAUGAGUUUGAUGUAUUCAUGGACGCGGUGAGCUGUAAAAUAAGCUUGGACACCCUUGUAGAUUUUGCUGUUGCACAAGGCUCACAAUGGAUAUUUAUAACACCGCAUGAUAUCAGCAUCGUGAAGCCUGGAGAUCACAAAUGGAAAAUCGCCUGUCUGUUACUGUGCUCAGUAGUGUAUAUAUCUCCUUAG
rnacentral:rRNA from 1 species